GGGGGAGUGCUAACCCGGUCGGAGGGGCCAGGCAGCUCCAGGUCGUACUCCGGAGGAACUCCAUACUGAACCCUUAUCAGAAGGAGUUCAUCCGGAGUCAGGGAGCAUGGAAUGGCACCCGGUGCAAAAAUCGGGCGAAGCCCAGCCCCAGAUACGGGUGCAUCUACAGAGCGAGGGACCUGGGGGGUUGAGGCGGAAGAACUCCCGGAACCGCUGGGAGCGGAAGAGCCAGAAGACAUUUCGAAUAACUUCGAAUGAAGACUCUAAAGAUCCCGAAGAA
rnacentral:lncRNA from 1 species